rnacentral:rRNA from 1 species
UCGAUGAAGAACGCAGCGAAAUGCGAUAAGUAAUGUGAAUUGCAGAAUUCAGUGAAUCAUCGAAUCUUUGAACGCACAUUGCGCCCUGUGGUAUUCCGCAGGGCAUGCCUGUUCGAGCGUCAUUUAACCACUCACGCCUAGCGUGGUAUUGGGGCACGCGGUCUCGCGGCCCUCAAAAUUAGUGGCGGCGCCGGUGGGCUCUAAGCGUAGUACAUACUCCCGCUAUAGAGUUCCCCCGGUGGCUCGCCAGAACCCCCAAUUUUUACAGGUUGACCUCGGAUCAGGUAGGGAUACCCGCUGAACUUAA